GGAACUUCCCCUGUCUUUCUUGCUUUUUGUUAUUGUAGUUGCUAUAGACGAAUGCGUUACAUGAAAGGUCUAUUGUAACGACUUUAUUUGAUAGCAACCACGAUACAAAUCUAAACGGAGAA